rnacentral:rRNA from 1 species
GGUUGAUCCUGCCAGUAGUCAUAUGCUUGUCUCAAAGAUUAAGCCAUGCAAGUCUAAGUACGACUCUCGUAUAGUGAAUCUGCGAAUGGCUCAUUACAUCGGUCAUAAUUUCCUGGACGAGUUAACCAUACUUGGAUAACUGUGCCAAUUGUAGAGCUAAUACAUGCAACAUGCUGUCUCUUCGGAGACGGUGCUUUUAUUAGAUCAAACGCCGAUGGCAUUCGUGUCUCGAGCGGCGAAUCGUGAUAACUCUAGCAUAUCGCACGGUUUCACACCGGCGAAGCGUCCUUCAAGUGACUGCCUUAUCAGCUGUCGAUGGUAGUGUAUUGGACUACCAGGCAUUAACGGGUNACGGGGAAUUAGGGUUCGAUUCCGGAGAGGGAGCCUGAGAAACGGCUACCACAUCUAAGGAAGGCAGCAGGCACGCAAAUUACCCAUUCCCGACUCGGGGAGGUAGUGACGAAAAAUAACGAUACGUGGUACUCAUUCGAGAACCCGUAAUUGGAAUGAGUACAAUUUAAAUCCUUUAACGAGGAUCUAUUGGAGGGCAAGUCUGGUGCCAGCAGCCGCGGUAAUUCCAGCUCCAAUAGCGUAUAUUAAAGUUGUUGCAGUUAAAAAGCUCGUAGUUGGAUCUUGGAUACGGGUAUCGCGGUCUGAGCAGUGUCUCUGUACUGCGAUUGCCCUGUCUGUAUUUUCGGAGGCCCGNGGCGGUGUCCUUNUGGGUGCUGUCGGGUGCCGAAGCGUUUACUUUGAAAAAAUUAGAGUGUUCAAAGCAGACACGU